CAAAGCUGGAUCUCCUACUCUGUU
rnacentral:piRNA from 1 species